rnacentral:rRNA from 1 species
GCGGAAGGAUCAUUACCGAGUGAGGGCCCUCUGGGUCCAACCUCCCACCCGUGUCUAUCGUACCUUGUUGCUUCGGCGGGCCCGCCGUUUCGACGGCCGCCGGGGAGGCCUUGCGCCCCCGGGCCCGCGCCCGCCGAAGACCCCAACAUGAACGCUGUUCUGAAAGUAUGCAGUCUGAGUUGAUUAUCGUAAUCAGUUAAAACUUUCAACAACGGAUCUCUUGGUUCCGGCAUCGCUGAAGAACGCAGCGAAAUGCGAUAAGUAAUGUGAAUUGCAGAAUUCAGUGAAUCAUCGAGUCUUUGAACGCACAUUGCGCCCCCUGGUAUUCCGGGGGGCAUGCCUGUCCGAGCGUCAUUGCUGCCCUCAAGCACGGCUUGUGUGUUGGGCCCCCGUCCCCCUCUCCCGGGGGACGGGCCCGAAAGGCAGCGGCGGCACCGCGUCCGGUCCUCGAGCGUAUGGGGCUUUGUCACCUGCUCGUAGGCCCGGCCGGCGCCAGCCGACACCCAACUUUAUUUUUCUAAGGUUGACCUCGGAUCAGGUAGGGAUACCCGCUGAACUUAAGCAUAUCAAUA